UACAGAGGUCCCAAGCGUUGUUCGGAUUCACUGGGCGUAAAGGGUGCGUAGGUGGUGAGGUAAGUCGGAUGUGAAAGCUCCGAGCUCAACUCGGAAAUGGCAUUGGAAACUACCUUGCUCGAGGGUUUGAGGGGGGGACUGGAAUACUUGGUGUAGCAGUGAAAUGCGUAGAUAUCAAGUAGAACACCAGUGGCGAAGGCGAGUCCCUGGAAAACUCCUGACACUGAGGCACGAA
rnacentral:rRNA from 1 species